GCGCGUAUAGCUCAGCGGUAGAGCACUGGUUUUACACACCAGCGGUCGUAGGUUCGAUCCCUACUGCGCGCACCA
rnacentral:tRNA from 1 species